GGCCUCAUGGCGCAACGGCAGCGCGUCUGACUCCAGAUCAGAAGGUUGUGUGUUCGAAUCACACUGGGGUCA
rnacentral:tRNA from 1 species